UCGCCUGAGGAGGGGCCCGCGUCCGAUUAGGUAGUUGGUGGGGUAAAGGCCUACCAAGCCGACGAUCGGUAGCUGGUCUGAGAGGAUGAUCAGCCACACUGGGACUGAGAUACGGCCCAG
rnacentral:rRNA from 1 species